AUGGGGUGGAGCUGGAUCAUUCUUUUCCUGAUGGCAGCAGCUACAGGUGUCCACUCCCAGGUCCAGCUGCAGCAGUCUGGGGCUGAGGUGGGGAGACCUGGGUCCUCAGUGAAGUUGUCCUGCAAGGCUUCUGGCUACACCUUCACCAGCUACAAUAUGCACUGGGUGAAGCAGAGGUCUGGACAGGGGCUGGAGUGGAUUGGAAGGAUUUAUCCUGAAUAUGGCAGUACUAUCUACCAUCAGAAGUUCCAGGGCAAGGCCACACUGACUGCAGACAAAUCCUCCAGCACAGUCUCCAUGGAGCUCAGCAGCCUGACCUCUGAGGACACAGCUGUCUAUUACUGUGCGAGACACACAGUGCUGCAACCACAUCCUGAGUGUGUCAGAAACCCUGGAGGAGCAGGAAGCUGCGCUGGGACUGAGAAGACAGAGAAGAUUAGCCUGGAGACUUCAUCAGAAGUAAUCAUCUUGAGCAUUCAUUUUUAUGCUUCUCUCCACAUCCUACAUUGCCCUUGCCAAUGUUGUAAAGGGACAUUUUUGAAUAAAGUGAUGUUGAUUUAG